UUUUAUCAUGGCUCAGGACGAACGCUGGCGGCGUGCUUAAUACAUGCAAGUCGAGCGAGCUUGCCUAGAUGAAUUUGGUGCUUGCACCAAAUGAAACUAGAUACAAGCGAGCGGCGGACGGGUGAGUAACACGUGGGUAACCUGCCCAAGAGACUGGGAUAACACCUGGAAACAGAUGCUAAUACCGGAUAACAACACUAGACGCAUGUCUAGAGUUUAAAAGAUGGUUCUGCUAUCACUCUUGGAUGGACCUGCGGUGCAUUAGCUAGUUGGUAAGGUAACGGCUUACCGAGGCAAUGAUGCAUAGCCGAGUUGAGAGACUGAUCGGCCACAUUGGGACUGAGACACGGCCCAAACUCCUACGGGAGGCAGCAGUAGGGAAUCUUCCACAAUGGACGCAAGUCUGAUGGAGCAACGCCGCGUGAGUGAAGAAGGGUUUCGGCUCGUAAAGCUCUGUUGGUAGUGAAGAAAGAUAGAGGUAGUAACUGGCCUUUAUUUGACGGUAAUUACUUAGAAAGUCACGGCUAACUACGUGCCAGCAGCCGCGGUAAUACGUAGGUGGCAAGCGUUGUCCGGAUUUAUUGGGCGUAAAGCGAGUGCAGGCGGUUCAAUAAGUCUGAUGUGAAAGCCUUCGGCUCAACCGGAGAAUUGCAUCAGAAACUGUUGAACUUGA
rnacentral:rRNA from 1 species